GGCAAAGAUGAAGAGUGCUUUAUGUUCUGACACCUCUUGUAUGAGAAGAGCUUUACCGCUCUUCUUUGAGCACAGAUAGCAACUCUCUGAGCC